AAGAAAAAAGGUAAAACGAUGGAAGAAGAAUUGGUGGUACUCAACUACUCAUUAAUAAAACAAAACGUCACUUCCCAGUUUGGAACAAAAUUGGGUCUGGAACAAAAUUGAUGGAAGAAGAAAGAUGGGUCUUGUUCCUUUACCUGAGUGAAUUGGAGAGAGAGUUUUUUUCUCAGCAAGAUCUCAGCAAAUUGAUUCGAUUAGCGACGCAACAAAUUGUUUACUGUGUCUCUGCAAAUUGUUCUUUAGGUUAGAAAUAAAUGGGCUAUCCAUUUAUUUAAGAGAAAACCCAUUUAAUAAGUGGGCUUAACUGGGUUAACCCAUUUAACCAAUUAAAACAAUUUUUUAUAAAUGGGUCUAAAUGGGCUAUUUAUUUAACAACAUACCCAUUUAAUUAAAUGGGCAGUGAAAC
rnacentral:sRNA from 1 species